CCAACCCACGCCAGGGAACUACGAGCCUUAGCUUAAAACCCAAAGGACUUGACGGUGUCCCACCCAACUAGAGGAGCCUGUUCUAUAAUCGAUGAUCCCCGCUUCACCCAACCCCCUCUUGCUUUAUCAGCCUGUAUACCUCCGUCGCAAGUCCGCCAUAUGAAUGCUCUUAAGCGGAUUCAAUGGGUCCCCCCCCACCAACACGUCAGGUCAAGGUGCAGCCAAUGAGGGCGGUAAGUAAUGGGCUACAAUUUCUAAUUUAGAACAAACGGAAUACUGUAUGAAAUACAGUUAUGAAGGAGGAUUUAGCAGUAAAAAGAAAGUAGCGUGUUCUUUUUAACACGGCCCUGGGACGUGUACACACCGCCCGUCGCCCUCUUCGACAAUACUGUUCUGUUAUCUAACCCAUUGGAAAAUGAGAGAAGAGGUAAGUCGUAACAUGGUAAGUGUACUGGAAGGUGCACUUGGCACAA
rnacentral:rRNA from 1 species